GCCGGGUAUGGUGGCUCAUGCCUGUAAUCCCAGCACUUUGGGAGGCUGAGAUGGGAGGAAUGCUUGAGACCAGGAGUUCGAGGCCAGCCUGGUAAACAUAGCAAGACCCCAUCUCUA
rfam:Homo sapiens chromosome 8 genomic contig HG76_PATCH, GRC reference assembly FIX PATCH for GRCh38.